rnacentral:rRNA from 1 species
CCUACGGGAGGCAGCAGUGGGGAAUAUUGGACAAUGGGCGCAAGCCUGAUCCAGCCAUGCCGCGUGGGUGAAGAAGGCCCUAGGGUUGUAAACCCCUUUCAGCGGGGAAGAUAAUGACGGUACCCGCAGAAGAAGUCCCGGCUAACUCCGUGCCAGCAGCCGCGGUAAUACGGAGGGGACUAGCGUUGUUCGGAAUUACUGGGCGUAAAGCGCGUGCAGGCGGUUCUGUAAGUCGGACGUGAAAGCUCCUGGCUUAACUGGGAGAGGCCGUUCGAUACUGCGGGACUUGAGGUCGGGAGAGGGACGUGGAAUUUCCGGCGUAGUGGUGGAAUGCGUAGAUAUCGGAAGGAACACCAGUGGCGAAGGCGGCGUCCUGGCCCGCACCUGACGCUAAGACGCGAAAGCGUGGGUAGCGAACGGGAUUAGAUACCCCGGUAGUCCACGCCGUAAACGGUGGAUACUAGGUGUUGGUGGCUAUCGUCAUCAGUGCCGUAGCUAACGCGUUAAGUAUCCCGCCUGGGGACUACGGCCGCAAGGCUAAAACUCAAAGGAAUUGACGG